rnacentral:lncRNA from 1 species
GUGAUUUCAGUGAUAUUGAUCAUCAAUUUUUGUUCAUAUAUGAAAUAGGUUUUCUGCAGUAAGCAGUUAUGACCACAGUUCUUCAAUGAAAUAUAUAAACGUAGGUGUAACUGAAGAAAAAAAAAAUGCCAGUGAGGCUUUUGAAGUUCUCCCUGCAACAUGGGGAGGAAUAAGCGAGCGGCUCAAAUCGGUCCCACUGCGGGAUGGAGAGAGUGUGCAUGAGCACAAGAUGAGCUGCUCUCUGCCCGAGACUGUGUUCAUCACAGAGAGCUCAAGUAUUGGCUGUCUCCAGAAUACAACCCCCCACCCCCCACCCCCCUCUCCCUCUUUGCACCAGCCGCCCAAUCACAGGGCGGCAGCAGCCAGGCAACGCUGCCCAGUCAGUGUGAGGCUGCAAACACUCAGAGACAGAGCAGCAGAGCCCUCUGCGUUAGCCUGCCACACACUGUCUCAGAAAGCUACGUCGAUAGAUAGAGAGGCAGAUGGAAACGAACUGAACGAAGGUUGCAGCACAACUAAGAAUCACAACUCCUAUCCUGUCACCAUGGAAACCGCCGAACAAUCAGAGCUGCCAGUGGACUGUGAAGUGGAGGUGGCUGUGGCUGAUUCACCUGAGCAGGGGAAGGAUUUCAGUGCAGAUGACGAGCAAGUUUGUUUAGAGACAGACUUAUCAGAUUCCCCAGGGGAAAAGGCAAUUCUUGGUACAUUAUUACCUGACCUGCCGACUGGGAAAAUUGAGAUUGACAUCCCUGAUUGCUCUGAGACAACUGAAAUGCCUUGCCAGGAUCAAAAGGAAGUUUUAAUAUUAGAAUCAGGGCAUGAAGAGCUCAACAGAAAUGAGUCAAUCACCUCGUCUGUGUCUGACACACUCUCCAGUGCUGAUAGUGUUUAUGAGAAUGAGGCCCAUCGUAAGAGACAGGACACACCAGAACAAGAUCCUGAGCAAGAACAAUUCCCUGAGUCGGAGCAGUAUCCUGAACCAGAGCAAGACCCUGAACCAGAGCAGUAUCCCGAACCAGAGCCAGACCCUGAACCAGAGCAGUAUCCUGAACCAGAGCAGUAUCCUGAACCAGAGCCAGACCCUGAACCAGAGCAGUAUCCUGAACCAGAGCCAGACCCUGAAACAGAGCAGUAUCCUGAACCAGAGCCAGACUCCGAACCAGAGAAAUACCCUGAGCCUGAGGACAACCUUGAAGUGGGGCCCUACCCUGAACCAGAGCAAUACCCUGAGCCUGAGGACAACCUUGAAGUGGGGCCCUACCCUGAGCCUGAGGACAACCUUGAAGAUGGGCAAUACCCUGAGCAAGAUCCUGAGGUAGAGUUAUACCCUGAUCCUGAGGACAACCUUGAAGACGGACAAUACCCUGAACCUGAGGAGAACAUCGAAGCAGGACAACACCCUGAGCCUGAGGACAACCUUGAAGAUGGGGAAUACCCUGAGCAGGAUCCUGAGCUAGAGUUAUACCCUGAGCCAGAGUUAUACACUGAGCCAGAGCCUGAGGCUGAUCAUAACGACUUUAAUCCUAAAGAUAAUGGCUAUAAAAGUCUGCAAAUGGACACUGAGGAAGACCCAGAGGCCCAUGAAAUCCUAUUUGAUCCACCCAUUACAGGGGAGUCAAUAUUGGAGCAUUGCAUUAGAGAAGAGGCAAUGUCAGAUUCCAAUGAAUCCUGCCAUGACCUUGACCACGAGGAAAUGGAUGAAUGCCUGAGAGUUGAAAUUGCAGCGGCUUCCUCGGAUAGUGAUGGUGACGAAAAAUGGAGGGCAAUAUUCUCCUCUUCUAUAAAUAAAGAAGAUGACGAUUCCUAUUUGGACAGUCUUCAGCUGAGUGCCCAGGAGCUCUUUGUGCAGAAAGUUGAGGUGACAGACUUUGAAGAACAAGGCAACUUUGAAGAGGUCUGUUUUGGGGUUCCAGAGGAUGAAGAAGUUCUUGAACAACCUGAAGAUGUAAUUCCCUUUCCCGCCCUGACACAAGAGGUUAAAUAUAAUCCUUUAGGCAUUCAAGGUUUGUCCAAGAUCUCUGAAGAUGAGAGUGAAAAUGGCAGGGAUGCCAAUCAUAACCACACCACCCACCAACAGCAAAACGAGGCAGAUCAAAACAAGAAGCUACCUAAAGACUUCUGUGUGAUACAGGAGACUAAGAGUGAGAAUGUCAGCACAGAGCAUGUGGACUUCCAGCAAACUCGUAAACAGUGGCGGGAAAAAGAGGAGCAGACCAAGAACAAGAUUGUCUUGCCUACUACCAAGCAGCCCAGCUUCCAUGGCGGCCACAACUUCAUGUACACACCAGUCCGCAACAUCGAAAGAACUCACAAAAAAGCGCAUGAUCUAGAGAAUUUGAAUCUGGUAGGGGAUUAUCCUCUCACCCAAUUCAGCCCUUGCUCAGAGGACUCUGGCCUGGAUGACUCCAGUUACAGGUCCGCAUAUGACGACCCAGAAACACCGAUUGAGAGGGAGAUUCGCAUAUCAAUGGAGAGGGAGGAAAACUUUAGGAGAGAGAAGGGCUUCUCGAGGAUGGGCAAAUCAACCGACUGCGCUCCAUCACGAGGUAUACCCAGAUCCAUAAGCACUCCGCUUACGCCAUCCUUCAUCAUCACCUCCUCACCCACUAAGGAACCGCUGAAACAUACCAUCAUACUCGACCCCAGCAGCGAUUUCACCACCAGUCCCAGACAUGGCAAAGACAAUGUGGCAGCUCGGCCUGGCGAGUGGCGCUCCGAGGACCACAGCUCGAACCUCAUCAUCCUGGAGACAACCAAUCUGAUAAUUCGCAGUGCCUCGGAGUUCUCCCUCAACAAAGCCUGUGAGCCGCCGCAGGAAAAGAUGUUCCUCAACAACCCCUUUUUCAAGCUGCGUUCAAGAAGCACACUGUCGUUUGUGGAUGAAGACAUUAAGUUGGUGAAGCAGAGGGAGGAAGAGCUGAGGAAAGAGAGAGCAAACCUGUAUGGCAAAGACAGGUUCAACACGGAAAGAAUGCUGUCAAAUCACAUGGACACUUUGACAUUUGACACUUCAGAUGUACCAGAGAAGUGCAAGUCCUCUCCAUCAUCACCAAUGAAAACAGCCUACAGGAUGGAUCGCUCUGCUCUGUCCUGUGAUCACAGAUUUCCGGAGGUCUACGCCGGAGGAAGACGCAAGAGUGCCAUGGCCGUGCGCUGGGAGGCGGGCGAGUUUACAAAAAAUGAGUGAAGAGGAACAAGUCGCCAGUUUGCCAUAUAAGGGCGUUGAAUGUCAAGUGUUGUUCUCAUUCAAAGUUAGAUUCCCGCAUUGCAAUUGUCUGUUUCAUGUUGUGACAUAACCUAAACUACUCUGCUUCUGUGAUGCUUUGGGCAAAAAAAAAAGAAAUAGCAAGACAAUAAUGACGCGGUUUGGACGGAUCAAAGAGAAGCGAGACACAAAGUUCGGGGGGUGAUUCUGGACAGAGGGUGUACAUUACUUUUUCAGAAAGCCACACUGUUCUGACGUGUCCUCAUCAAGUCUAAAUCAACACUCAUAGCUGGAAGGCUGCUGGUUUCAGCUCUUACAGGCUACAGGUGCUACUACUUUUCGUAGUAGCAAAGUAAUUUGUAUGACAAGAUUGACUAUAACUGUGCCAACACACACUUGCUAUUUUAAACCGUGUGGCUACGAUAUGAAUGGAAUGAUACGCUGAUCAGUGCAGGUAAAUACCAACAUAAUCUCAAUUUCACAGAGACAAAACCCAGGUUAUCAGUUUAUGUAUCAUGCAAUAAUAUUCAAUAACUGUACGUCUCCUCGUCGAUCGUCCCCUGCCUAUUGAGGAGAUCCAGGAGUGCUGAACUUAUUUCUGAUUCCCUAAUGGGCCUUUGUUAUUAGCUUAAUACAGUACUCACAUGCCAUGUGUAUAAUGAAAGAGUAAAUGGUCGCUGUAAUCUUAAAGUGCAGCUGAAACUUAAAUUAAGCUUCGGGAGGAGUGUUUAACCAGCAGUAUGUCCACACGGUUGGAUUACGGCUCCAAAAACUCUUUCAAUAUUAUAAUACAUGUGACUACUGUAUCAAGACUCACUUGGGAAAAUACCUACUUUAUGUAAAAUAGGGUCAUUUGCUGACAGUAAACUGAAAAGUACUUGCAAGACAGCUUUUUUUUGCGAAGAUGCCUGAAUGUUAGACGGCUGUAUUGUUGAGUCCAAACUUUUCUGGACAUUGUAAAUCUUAAUCAGAUUUGAAAACAUAUUUUGAUGUUAUUGUACGUCUUGAUGAAAGCAAAAUGCUACAUUGCUCAGUGUAUGUUAAUUGCAUUUUGGUACUAUGCUUUUUAUUUAUUUUUUUGCUGCAAAUGACAUUUUAGG